rnacentral:rRNA from 1 species
UAGGGAAUCUUCCGCAAUGGGCGAAAGCCUGACGGAGCAACGCCGCGUGAGUGAUGAAGGUCUUCGGAUCGUAAAACUCUGUUAUUAGGGAAGAACAAAUGUGUAAGUAACUAUGCACGUCUUGACGGUACCUAAUCAGAAAGCCACGGCUAACUACGUGCCAGCAGUCGCGGUAAUACGUAGGUGGCAAGCGUUAUCCGGAAUUAUUGGGCGUAAAGCGCGCGUCGGCGGUUUUCUAAGUCUGAUGUGAAAGCCCACGGCGCAACCGUGGGGGGUCAUUGGAUACUGGAAAACUUGAGUGCAGAAGAGGGAAGUGGAAUUCCAUGUGUAGCGGUGAAAUGCGCAGAGAUAUGGAGGUACACAAGUGGCGAAGGCGACUUUCUUGUCUGUAACUGACGCUGAUGUGCGAAAGCGUGGGGUUCAAACAGG